rnacentral:rRNA from 1 species
GGGUCAGUAGGUUGGUCGUGCCACCGGUACGUACUGGUCUCACUGAUUCCUCCUUCCUGAAGAACCGUAAUGCCAUUAAUUUGGUGUUGCGGGGAAACAGGACUGUUACUUUGAAAAAAUUAGAGUGUUUAAAGCAAGCUAACGCUUGAAUACAUUAGCAUGGAAUAAUGAAAUAGGACGAUCGAUCCUAUUUUGUUGGUUUCUAGGAUUGACGUAAUGAUUAAUUGGGAUACUUGGG